AAUUAGACAAAUUGUUUCUUUUCUUGAUAGUAUAAUCAUAUUAAACUGACUAAUAAAGCAUAAAUUAAACGUUUAUAGGAGAGGAUUACAUUUAGAAAAUGAAGAAAAAGCUUUGUUGGUCUUUCCUUGAUCAACUAUGCAAAUGAAGCUUAAAAAUAGGAAAACCAUUACAAAGAGAGAGUUGCAUACGAAAAAUGAAUAACUAUUUUUGCAUGCUAACAAUUUUAUGUAGAGACAGACAAAAUGUUCUUUUGGAUUUUGGAGAAAUGACCAAUUGGGUAUAAAGUACAAUAUCACAUUUUUCUAAUUUUAUUGCAACCAGGUAAUAGGAAGCCGGGCAGCUCACUAAUUAACUUUUACUUAUCUAUGAGUUGGUCUGUGCCUAAAGUAAAAUCAUUAAAUAUAUUGAUAUAUAUAGUUAAUUUCCUUUCUAUUAAACUUUACAAGGAUUUUUUCUAAUGUGAUGUCAAUUGUUAGGCAGUUGAAACUUGAAUCAUUAAUUUUGGAUGUGGAGCUAUAUUGCUCUCUAAAUAAUUCAGUAACUAUUAGAGGUACUUAACAUAUAGGAUAUUGAUUAAUAGAUGGGCGACUUUACAUUCGGUUAGACACAAAUAUGUAUCAAUUAUAUGUCUUAUAUAUGCAACUUAGCCUGUUUUUGCUAUUUAAUAUUGAUCUGGCUUACUUCUUUCUGUAGGCUGUUCCAACAUCCAGGGGUCAAGCACUUGCUGAUGAAUAUGGAAUUAAAUUCUUUGAGACUAGUGCAAAGACUAAUAUGAAUGUGGAGGAGGUUUUCUUCUCAAUAGGCAGGGAUAUAAAGCAAAGACUUUCUGAGACGGACUCAAGACCUGAGGCUCCAUCCAUUAGGAUUACCCAAGCGGACCAAACUGCAGGGGGUGCUCAAGCAGCACAGAAGUCAGCUUGCUGUGGUUCCUGAGCAAAUCCUUUGCAUCGAAGGUAGGCCGACCAAUUACAUAACCAUUUUGUGGGAGGAAUUAAUGUUAUGACAAUACCGAUGUUGCCUGUAAUGUUGUCAUUCUCAUUUAAUAUAGUCUCUACACAAUUGUGUUUUGGGAGUAAGUUUAUAUUUGAGAAAGUAAUAGCAUUUAAGUCUUUCUCAUGAACUCUUCUUCACUGGGUUGACUGAAGAUGAUAAUUUAGUAAAUUGGUUUUAUUUUAUGAUUCAUUUGAGUGUAAAAUUGAAGCUGCUCUCUUUUAUAUUGGUCCAAACGUGGUGUUAUUGAACAUUGUUA